rnacentral:rRNA from 1 species
CGUAGGGUGCGAGCGUUGUCCGGAUUUAUUGGGCGUAAAGGGCUCGUAGGUGGUUGAUCGCGUCGGAAGUGUAAUCUUGGGGCUUAACCCUGAGCGUGCUUUCGAUACGGGUUGACUUGAGGAAGGUAGGGGAGAACUGGAAUUCCUGGUGGAGCGGUGGAAUGCGCAGAUAUCAGGAGGAACACCAGUGGCGAAGGCGGUUCUCUGGGCCUUUCCUGACGCUGAGGAGCGAAAGCGUGGGGAGCGAACAGGCUUAGAUACCCUGGUAGUCCACGCUGUAAACGGUGGGUACUAGGUGUGGGGUCCAUUCCACGGGUUCCGCGCCGUAGCUAACGCUUUAAGUACCCCGCCUGGGGAGUACGGCCGCAAGGCUA